CGAACGCUGGCGGCGUGCUCAUACAUGCAAGCGAACGAUAAGGCACCUUCGGGUGUACAUAAGUGGCGGACGGGUGAGUAAUAUGUAGAGAAUCUGCCCUAGAGAGUGGGACAACAGUUGGAAACGACUGCUAAUACCGCAUAUGAGCGUACCUGAAAUGGUAUUCUUGAAAAACUCCGGUGCUCUGGGAUGAGUCUGCAUCUGAUUAGCUAGUUGGGGGUGUAAUGGACCACCAAGGCGACGAUCAGUAGCUGGUUUGAGAGGAUGAUCAGCCACAAUGGGACUGAGACACGGCCCAUACUCCUACGGGAGGCAGCAGUAGGGAAUUUUGCGCAAUGGGGGAAACCCUGAACGCAGCAACGCCGCGUGACCGAUGAAGCCCUUCGGGGUGUAAAGGUCUGUCAGUGGGGACGAAUAUUGACGGUACCCACAGAGGAAGCAUCGGCUAACUCCGUGCCAGCCGCCGC
rnacentral:rRNA from 1 species